GAUCUACGAAAUACAACGAAAGACUUCGUCAAGAACAGAAGACGAUGUCGUGUAACUCACACAAGGCCCGGCCCAGCUGUCUAGUAACCGGAGGGGUAAAGGAAAAGAACGUAUUAGACUCACUGAAACCUGUCAAACUGGUUAAUGGGAACAGGAUAAUUUUCCAUGCCUUUCACUUGAGGUCUUCAGUUUCAUCAUUAAUCAUCUGAAUGUCGGUAUGCCAAACUCUCAUGAUGUCAUGCCAUUACUGGAUAUUCCUUAACACUGGUUUAUUUAAACCACACUACCUAUAACAUUGCCAAAUAUUAGACUGAAAAUUUUCAAAUACACAAGAUUUGAAGCAGCAAAAGAAAAGAAUUACAUAUGUAUAACACACAAAAAAGAAGAAAUUAAUUCUCACCUGGCUGAUAUGAACUUUUUACUCCUUUUUAGCUCCCUUUCACUGCAUACCAGCCAAUAACUAGCAGUCAUUAUAUGCAGAUCAGCCAUUGUUAUCAACCUGUGUAUAUAUAUGUUGAAUAAAAUAUGAAUGAAAA